GACGAACCGUACGAACGUUAUUCGGAUUUACUGGGCUUAAAGGGUGCGUAGGCGGCGCGGAAAGUUGGGUGUGAAAUCCCUCGGCUUAACCGAGGAACUGCGCCCAAAACUACCGUGCUCGAGGGAGACAGAGGUGAGCGGAACUUAGGGUGGAGCGGUGAAAUGCGUUGAUAUCCUAAGGAACACCAGUGGCGAAAGCGGCUCACUGGGUCUCUUCUGACGCUGAGGCGCGAAAGCUAGGGGAGCAAACGGG
rnacentral:rRNA from 1 species